NNNUUUAGACAAGUCUCGUAAAUUUUAGGGACUGAUGUCAUUUUUAACGCGUCUUCUAUUUUUAGGGACC
rfam:Populus trichocarpa isolate Nisqually-1 chromosome 15, whole genome shotgun sequence.